GGGGAUGUAACUCUGUUGGCAGAGCUCUUGCCUAGCAUGCACAAGGGCCUGGGUUCAAUCCCCAGCAGCACCA
rnacentral:tRNA from 1 species